rnacentral:rRNA from 1 species
UACGUAGGGGGCAAGCGUUGUCCGGAAUCAUUGGGCGUAAAGCGCGUGUAGGCGGCCAGAUAAGUCCGCUGUGAAAUCUCGAGGCUCAACUUCGAGCUGUCGGUGGAAACUGUCUGGCUAGAGUCCGGAAGAGGAGAAUGGAAUUCCUGGUGUAGCGGUGAAAUGCGCAGAUAUCAGGAAGAACACCCGUGGCGAAGGCGGUUCUCUGGGACGGUACUGACGCUGAGACGCGAAAGCGUGGGGAGCAAACAGG